CAUUAGGCCAUAUUUUUUGGACAUGCCCUAAAAUGAAGGAAUAUUGGAAAUCACUUCACAAAAUUAUCAACACUGUUGACCCCAGACAUUUGUGUAUUCAAAAAACUUCCUCCAAACGGAACAAAAAAUGAAUCCAUUGCGCGGAGUCAUUUAUUAAAGGGACACUCCAGGCACCCAGACCACUUCUGCCCAUUGGAGUGGU